rnacentral:rRNA from 1 species
GACAGAGGUGCCAAGCGUUAGGCGGAAUCACUGGGCUUAAAGCGUGUGUAGGCGGAUUGGUAAGUACCUUGUGAAAUCCCCAACAGCUCAACUGUGGAACUGCUGGGUAUACUGCUUAUCUUGAGCCACUUAGGGGCUGUCGGAACAAAUGGUGGAGCGGUGAAAUGCGUAGAUAUCGGAAGGAACACCGGUGGCGAAAGCGGCGCGCUGGGACCCCUUCUGACGCUGAGGCGCGAAAGCCAGGGGGAGCAAACGGG